rnacentral:rRNA from 1 species
GACGAACGCUGGCGGCGUGCUUAACACAUGCAAGUCGAACGGAGUGGCGAACGGGUGAGUAACACGUGGGUGACCUGCCCUGCACUUCGGGAUAAGCCUGGGAAACUGGGUCUAAUACCGGAUAGUGUGGGAUGGGCCCGCGGCCUACCAGCUUGUUGGUGGGGUAAUGGCCUACGAAGGGGGCGACGGGUAGCCGGCCUGGGCGGGUGGACCGGCACAUUGGGACUGGGGCACGACCCAGACGCCUACGGGGGGCAGUAGGGGGGAAUAUUGCACAAUGGGCGGAAGCCUGAUGCAGCGACGUCGCGUGGGGGAUGACGGUCUUCGGGUUGUAAACUCCUUUCACCAUCGACGCGGUAGAUGGAGAAGAAGCACCGGCUAACUACGUGCCAGCAGCCGCGGUAAUAC